rnacentral:lncRNA from 1 species
AAGAGAGAGCCCAGCACUCCCCCGAACACAGGCUGGGGAUCUUCGAACUCACUUAGCUCCCUCAGGUCCCCAGUAGCUCAUUUGUCAAAUGGAUAUGAUAUCAACCUGCUAAGAUGCUGAGAGAUGUAAAGCAGAACGUGCCAGGCACGCAAUAAACGUAGCCAUUCUUGGGGUUCAGGAUGGGGACACAGUGCUGUGUCUUACAUUAAAGGCCAACCUUUAGAACUCAGCCGCACUCGUCAUACCUCAGCAUUCUAAGGGGACGGAGAUGUUCCUGGCAUCCCCUCUCCCAGCUUACUAUUGGGAGAAGCGAACAGGGCACAGAUGCCAUCACUAACAUCAGAACCAAAGUGGUGAUGAGCCCAAAGGUAUGGCUCUCUUCUGAAAAUACAUCCAUUUUCUACAUGGUGCUACUCUUUUGAACUUCUAUUAUGAUAUACACUGACAUGAUCAUUCCUAGUUUCCCAUCACAUAUGCCAUUCUUCUGUGUUGUUUUGGGGAAUCCAUUCCACAGGUACUAAUAAACAGCCCACAUUUCGCCAAUACAACAAUGGUGAUUAAGUAGCAAUGUCAUCGCAUGUCAUCUUAUCCAACUGUGCACAUAAUCAUUUUCAAAACAGUUAACUGCAGUUCUAAAAUGCAGUUUUAGUCCAGUGAAUGUUCCUGGAAUGUCGUUGCCUUGAAGGGUUUCCAAUGCAAAUAAAUGAUUUUUUAAAC